AUUAGAACUGUUCGAACAAGAUGGAUCGUAUGCAAUUUCAACCGAGUGCAGUAAAAACGUCAGUGUGUUCCAGGUUCCUGUUGAAUUUAGAACGAGAUGGAGUUGGUCUCCAGAGCUUGCAGAGAGUGCUGCCUGCUAGAAUAACGGCCCAACGAGAUGGAACAUAACAUCAAAAGUGGACAUUUAAAUCCGCGCCCUACAAUAUCCAUUGCUGCCAUACGAUGAAUUGUAAGUAAUAAUCAGAUAUUUUAUUGUUAAUAGUGUGAAGUACACUGACAUACGGCUUAAGUUGUUAUAAGAAUUUCU